rnacentral:rRNA from 1 species
UUGCUCGGAAUCACUGGGCGUAAAGCGCACGUAGGCGGACUCUUAAGUCGGUGGUGAAAUCCUGGAGCUCAACUCCAGAACUGCCUCCGAUACUGGGAGUCUCCGAGUCCGGGAGAGGUGAGUGGAACUGCGAGUGUAGAGGUGAAAUUCGUAGAUAUUCGCAAGAACACCAGUGGCGAAGGCGGCUCACUGGCCCGGUACUGACGCUGAGGUGCGAAAGCGUGGGGAGCAAACAGG